CCGAGCAGGAUCUAGCGCCCACGGAUCUGAUGUCAGAGGGCGGCCCUGGCAUCGCUCCCUCCUUCCUGCCCACAUGGCAGCGCGGCGGAGCCGGCCGAGAGCAGGGGCCCCAAAGCCCUUGCCUCUCGAAUCACAUCUGUUGGCUUCAUGCUAGGCCUGCACACAGCAGCACCUUCUAAAAAACAGUGUCCUAAAAGAAUAAUGACAGGGAAAAAUAACCAAGAGCUAUCGAGUGAAGAUAGCAGAGAAGCAAAACAUUAUGACCUUGUGUUUACUUUAGACCAAUAAGGAACGAAUUUGGGCCGAGGAAAAAACUGGAAAAACUAACAGGGACUAUCUUUAGAAAUUUAUCAUUCGGCAAAUAUUUAUUGAGCAGCUACUAUUUGUUGGACUCUUCUAGGUGCUGGGUCAUAACAGCCAACCGAUGAAGCCCUUAGGGAUAUAACAUUCAUGAGAGGCAACGGAGUCACGAAGUCCCUGAGGCCCAAAUGCAGAUCCCACCUUCUACUCAGGUGUCUUCUUCGGCUCCUCUCGGCGGUGACGGUUUCUCGGACUUCCCUGGCUUGGGGUGACCUUGAGAGUUUUGAGGGGUACUGGUCAGGUACUGCGUAUUGGAAUUUGCCUCACGUUUUUCUCAUGAUCCAAUGGGACCAUGGGUUUCAAGAGCACAGAGAAUGAAAAAGAAAAACUUACUUUGACAAGUCAUUCUUAUUAAAACAUUGAUGAAAAAGCAACACUUCCUGUAUCUUCCAAAGUGGAACAGAUGCACACCCCGGGCCCCGCAAGGCCUCUCGCAGAUGAGGAAACCGAGGCGCAGAGAGGCAAAGGGAUGUGUCGAAAGCCACACAGCUGGAGCAAGUGGUGGAACUGGCCUGGGAACAUGGGUUGGUGUGUUUUCCCUCCACCCCACAGCGACAUGGUGGGGGUGGGGGUGGGGGUGGGGAGUUGGCAGAGGCAGCCCUUUAAAAACUGCAGUAGGGCCACCACAAGUAAACAGAAGCCUUGACAGCUGUCGGGCCCUCUCUCCAAGCACAAGGCGGAGGCUGGCCCUGUUUCCAGCAGAAGGCCUUGGUCCGGCCGGCUGCCUUGACUCAGAGGACUCAGGCUCGCGUUGCUCCUUUGUGGGCUGGAGGGGCCCCGAGAUCACAGACCCCGGAGUGGGUGUGAGCACCGUCUCUGCACCCAGAAGCUGAGAUCAGCUUUUGGGCUGCUCUUUCUUCAGUCAUUUACUGGUUUCCCAUGAUUAUAAUAACUACCCCUGCUGAGCUUUAUAGUUCACAAAGUACUUUCACAAACACUCUUUCAUUUACUCCUCACAUCAGCCCUGUGAUGAGGAGUUAAUAUGACCAUUUUAUGGAAACAGAAACUGGAGUUCAGGGAGGGAGGUUCCGGGAAUGGCCUCAGAUCAGAAGGCCAGCAGUGGCCCUCACGCCAGCAUUCCCGAGCCCCGGGCCAGACCCGGCUCCUUCCUUCCACGGGGCAGCCUUCUCAGAGGAGUGCGGUGGCUUCUGGAGGGGCCGGCCUAUCUCAGUCUGCCAGCAGUGACCAGACAAUCUGCUCUCAUCAUCUGGGAGCUGGGUGAAGACCCCUCCCCACCCUCACCUCCUGCAAAUAUUGUGUGUUGGGGGUGGGGGGGACACAAAGAAGUAGAAGUGACUGCUGAGUGAGGGAGCUGGAGAGAGUACUGGGGAGGGGUCCCCCGCUGCCUUGGCCUUGGGCCCCGCAGAUGCAUGGAAGGGACCAGCAGUUCCUGGAACACGAGCCCAUCGCCGGGGUGCCCAGUGCCAGCUGUUGCCAUCUGCUUGUGGCAAAACGAGAAAAAUAGGACAAUACAGUGAAGUUUUCCUAAAGCUAGACCUACUCGAUCUGAAGUACGGCCCUUUCCCUGGAGCUGUGUAUUUUCAGGGUCUGUGCAUGUGUGUGUUUAAAAAGGACCUUUUCUUUGACAUUUUCUUUAAUGUCCUUAACCGAGCAAAAUAAAAGACUAGUGACCAUGUCAGAUCCUAAAUCGGCUUUUUGGAAAUGUUAGUGACUAAGGAAUCCGAAUGCCUGGGAAUCACGGAGCUGGCCCUGAUUCGGUGAGCCCUGGCACGGAGGACUUGUUUUUGAAUUCAGGGAUGAUCUCUGAACAGCUGGAAAAACCCCGGGGGAGGAGAGGUUGGGGUUCCUGCCUGGACUCAGCCCCUCAGCCCUGGAUCCCCAGGAAACCUGAGCAGAGGGAACAUUAGAGUCACUGCACAGGGAAUUCUGAGAAAGGCCUCGGGCUGAUUCUCCGUGCUGCACCCCCUCAGCCUCUUCUCUGACCCCCAGCCAGAGGGAAUGUACCCUCCAACCUCAGCCCUGCCUCCCCCAGCCCCCCAAGGCUGGAUCCAAAAUAGCCCAGGCCCCGGAGGAGACGUCAUGGGUCAGACUGGCUGCCUGCCCUCAGAGAGGGCAUGUCGGUAAUGCCCAAGGCCAAAUAUAGAGGGACACCAGACACCGCUGGGCCACCCAGGGCCUGGGGAGCCCGGCUGGCAUCUCAGGGCCUCCCCCACCCUCAUCCCUUCCCAGCCCUGCACCCCCAACCCGGGCUCCGGAGGCCAGCGCCUCCUGGCCAGGCCCACCCAGCCAGGACAUGUCCCAGCAAGCCCAGAGCCGAGCUGGAGGCUGGCCCGACGGGGUGCUGGGCCUGGGCUGGGCCUGGGCGUGGGGACACCCCUCCAUCUGGGGGUCUCAAAGCACUUUUAUAAGCGUCACUUCCCACAGGCUGCUGCCGAGAUCAGGAGGCCAAGAGGACCUGGUGUCUCCGGGGGGCCGGCUCCUGCCUCUGUUCCUCCCAGCUCGGGAAGGAGACCAGGCCGUAAACCUGCGGCGUGGGAGGCUUGGGAGGCGGGGGGCGGGCAGGCGGCCAGGUCUAACCCGAGUGAACUCCCGGUGGAAUCGAACUGCAAAUAAUGAGUCCUGAUUGCCGAGGUGGCCUCCACCCGCCACUCCCGGGAAUUAAAAGUCAAAGGGCAGAGCUGCUGACGCAAAUGUCAAGGGAGACACGCGGUGUGGAACAGCUGGGAUCCUGCUCCCCGGCCUGCCGCCCAAGGUCGCCGCCCCCAGCGCCCUGGAUCCGGCGUCCCCCAGGCUGGGCCCCGAGAGGCCCCAGUUCCCCAGGCGCAGCAGGGAAGGGGGCUCGGCUUCCUCUCCCUCCUCCUGGUUCUAAGGUCAACAGAACUCGAUUGGAGGAGGUUCAUCAGAAAUCCCCGUGCAACGGCGUUGCCGGACGC
ensembl:lncRNA